rnacentral:lncRNA from 1 species
UGACAUAAUAAUUCACUGACAACUUUAUAAUAUUAUUGUAUUUUAUAUUAUAAUUAUAAAAAUAAUAUGAUCCUUAUUAUACUGUAACAAGAAUAGUUAAUAGUUUACCUUUUACAAGGGGGUAACCUUAGCAGAUCAUUUGCAAGGUUACCAUAUCUCUUUCAGCAUCAAACAACCAAACAAAUGUAGUUGCUUUUACAGCGUUCAAUUAAAAAACCCCAGACAAAAACAAUUUUUGCAACUACAAUUCCAAUUGCAACCUGUGUUUGAACUUCGAAAUGUAUGCACCUAAAUGGCCCCUUAAUAAUGGCCUAACCAUAGGAGUAAAAGAGUCGUAAUAUUGAGAAAACUAAGGAUAUCUUCUUACAUUUGCAAGCAUUGAGAAGCUUCUAGAUUUUGAGAGAUUAAAGGCGCAAGUUAUAGCCUACAUAUGAUAUGAGAAGUUUGUGGAUGAUAGCAUGGAUUGUUGUAUUGCUUGAUAUAGGGCAUACCGUACCGGAUGAAAACCAGUAUAAAACUCAAGUCUAAGUCAGUACAGAUCUUAUACCGCCCCGUACUGUCUUGUACCGAGGCAUACCAAGGUAUGUAUUGACCCAUACCAAGAUGUACUGGAUAAAAUGUGAGAAAAAUGGUUGGAGAGCCGUUUUGGAUCUUUGAUAUUUAUAUUCGAUAUAAUUACAAUUGAUCCAAAUAAUCAAACAACCACCAUUGGAACAUUUGUAUUUAUAUGCAUCAGGAUCCCGAUUCAUGGAUCUCUCAGUUCGAGAAAUAAGAGGUUCAGAUGAAUACUAUACCAGUGCGGUACUUGGUACCAAGAUCCUUGGACGAUAAUGACAUGCAUGGCUGAUUAUUGGAGAACACACGUCAUGUUGCAAGGGUAAUGGCUGCAAGUUAACUCCAUUUUAGUAGCACUUUGUUCUCGCACUUGUUAUAACAUUGCUACCAGAUGCAAAACUUGGUUGACCUUUAGAACAGAUGGAAGUACAAGUAGAAUAAGAUGAAAACCGAUGUUCUAAUUAACUUAAAUGGCUCAAGGAGAUCAAGCCUGCAGCAAGAUCCCUAAGAUCUAGUGUCCCUUUAGGUGGACAUCAAUUAAGUAACUAAUAAAGAGUUUAAUAAAUCUGAGUGGAAAAUAAUAUUGUAUUAAUAGAGGCUAAAAGAGUUAGCAUCUCGUACUUGCAUAGGAUAGCGGUAAGACAGAUAGUGCGUCAUGAUCAAUUAAGGGCAUACAUAAGAAAGUUUGCAUGCACAUGGGGACAUGAAAUGGAAAUGCUAACUCUCUUUCCCAUAGUCUUCCUAACAGGUGUUUUCUUUAAAUAGGCCGAGGCUAUCAAGUCCAAUACCCUUAAGUGGUAUUCUAUAUGACUUUAGGUGCAUCAAGAAUGAUCGCAAAAUGUUGGAUAAUUUUAAAACACAAAGCUAAGACUCCGACAACAACAUUGCAGGAAAUCAUAGCCCUUGCACAUGAUGAGUUCAAGGCAAGCACAAUGUAACCACAGGUAUUUUCAAAUCAGGAAUUAUGCCAAAGUCAUACUCAACAGGCUAGAGGAAAGAGAUUUCUUGGACAUACAAACAAGUAUCACCAUGUAUUGUGGAGUGAUUGAUUAUAACCCUAUUUGAUUUUGAUGAGCUCAAAGCAAUUGAGUAUAUCUGAUGUUAUACUAAUGAAUUCAAUCUAGUGUUUCAGCCAAAUAUUUGUGAAUUUAUGCUUAAGUGUCUCUAGCUUUGGUUCAAUACAUUUUGGCUAAGUUUGGAACUAAGUUUGAACCAAAGUCUGAAGCUCGAGUCGACUUCGGAAGAUUACGAGUCGACUCCAAGUGUUUCAGAAGUUCUGGCACAUGCUCGUGUCGACUCCGGUACACUACGAGUCGACUCCGACUGAGAACUGACAAAAAGACAGAAAGUUGAUUUUCAGACCCUGUCAGCGAGUCGACUCCAGAAGGGUUCGAGUCGACUCCGAUGGUUUCCAAGUCGACUUUCGAUGUUUCCGAGUCGACUCCAAAGGGUAACAAAAGAAAGACAGAACAAUGUAUUUCAGACCCUGCAACCGAGUCGACUCCAGAAGGUUACGAGUCGACUCUUAGUUAAGUACGAGUCGACUCUCAGAGGAAAGCAAGACUAGAAGACAGAGAACCAACUUCGGACUCUGAGAGCCGAGUCGACUCCAACAAGGUGCGAGUCGACUCCGAGGCAGUUCAAGCCAAAACACAGAGGAUCAGUUUUCGGACUCUGAGAGCCGAGUCAACUUCAACAAGGUGCGAGUCGACUCCGAGGCAGUUCAAGCCAAAACACAGAGGAUCAGUUUUCGGAUUCUAAGAGCCGAGUCGACUCCAACAAAGUGCGAGUCGACUCCGAGGCAGUUCAACUCAAAACACAUAGAAACAGUUUUCGGACUUUGAGAGCCGAGUCGACUCCAAGAUGAUCCGAGUCGACUCGAGAAAGAAAUGCAGAAAAACAGAUCUCUGGAACCCUGAUAACGAGUCGUUUCCAGAGGGCCGAGUCAUCUCCGGACAUUGGCGAGUCGACUCCAGGGUUGGCCGNN